rnacentral:rRNA from 1 species
AUUGAACGCUGGCGGCAUGCCUUACACAUGCAAGUCGAACGGCAGCACGGGGGCAACCCUGGUGGCGAGUGGCGAACGGGUGAGUAAUGCAUCGGAACGUGCCCAGUAGUGGGGGAUAACUAGUCGAAAGAUUAGCUAAUACCGCAUACGACCUAUGGGUGAAAGCGGGGGACCUUUACCGGCCUCGCGCUAUCGGAGCGGCCGAUGUCUGAUUAGCUAGUUGGCGGGGUAAAAGCCCACCAAGGCUUCGAUCAGUAGCUGGUCUGAGAGGACGACCAGCCACACUGGGACUGAGACACGGCCCAGACUCCUACGGGAGGCAGCAGUGGGGAAUUUUGGACAAUGGGCGCAAGCCUGAUCCAGCCAUGCCGCGUGCGGGAAGAAGGCC